rnacentral:lncRNA from 1 species
CUUAGUGUCACAACACGAAUGGGAUGAGACUUUCCAUCCUUCCAAUUGAAGCAGACAUAGUAUGUACCGGUCUCCGCAUUGUCAGUAUCCCUCCGACAAUCCAACGAUCAGGAACCUUUUUGGACAUCUGGUUAUAUGAAGAAGGUCUCUGUAGUCUAACAUCAUUAGAUUACUUCUUCAAUCGAUCCAUUGUCCAUGGAUACACUAUUUAGGACAUAUAUCGUUUAUUGAGAUAGUCCUAAUUCGUAUCUUUGCCAUUUGAUGUAUAAGAUUCAUCCAUACAUCCAUUCAUUUGUCCUGAAAGAUUUCUUCCAAAGAUUGACUUUCAGGGCAUAUUUUCCAACAAUCUCCCCACUUGCACUAAAGUCAAUCCCUAGUGUAUCUUAUACAUCUUGUUGAGAGAGUUUAUGCUCGUAGGUUAACUUGGUUAUGUAUUAAUCCCUUUUAUUAUUCAAAAGGGAUUUACUUAUCUAAUGUUUCCAAAACAUUAGAUGAUGUCUCUUUAUUGUGUUCGAAUACUUUGAUGAGACCUUGAUUCCAUGGCUUGAGCUAUC